rnacentral:tRNA from 1 species
GGGCGGGUAGCUCAGAUGGUAGAGCGCCAAAAACAUCCUUGUUCACCCCUUGCCUGUAAAGGCCGAAGAAUGAGGGUUAUCGCCUCUUAAGCGGGAGGUCGAGGGUUCGAGUCCCUCCCCGCCCACCA